CGAUUAAGCCAUGCAAGUCGAGAGGGUUCGGCCCUCGGCGUACUGCUCAGUAACACGUGGAUAACCUGCCCUAAGGAAGGGGAUAACCUCGGGAAACUGAGGAUAAUACCCUAUAGGAUACCGAUGCUGGAAUGCCCGGUAUCCCAAAGCUCCGGCGCCUUAGGAUGGAUCUGCGGCCGAUUAGGUCGUUGUUGGGGUAACGGCCCAACAAGCCGAUAAUCGGUACGGGUUGUGGGAGCAAGAGCCCGGAGUUGGAUUCUGAGACACGAAUCCAGGCCCUACGGGGCGCAGCAGGCGCGAAAACUUUACAAUGCGGGCAACCGUGAUAAGGGAACCUCGAGUGCCUGUACAUGCAGGCUGUCUGGGUGUCUAAAACACACCCAAAGAAAGGGCCGGGCAAGACCGGUGCCAGCCGCCGCGGUAAUACCGGCGGCUCGAGUGGUGGCCACUUUUAUUGGGCUUAAAGCGUUCGUAGCUGGGUUGUUAAGUCUCUUGGGAAAUCUGGCAGCUUAACUGUCAGGCGUCUAAGAGAUACUGGCAAUCUAGGAACCGGGAGAGGUGAGGGGUACUUCGGGGGUAGGAGUGAAAUCCUGUAAUCCUCGAGGGACCACCUGUGGCGAAGGCGCCUCACCAGAACGGCUUCGACAGUGAGGGACGAAAGCUGGGGGAGCAAACCGGAUUAGAUACCCGGGUAGUCCCAGCCGUAAACGAUGCGCGUUAGGUGUGUCGAUGACCACGAGUCAUCGAGGUGCCGAAGGGAAACCGUGAAACGCGCCGCCUGGGAAGUACGGUCGCAAGGCUGAAACUUAAAGGAAUUGGCGGGGGAGCA
rnacentral:rRNA from 1 species